rnacentral:rRNA from 1 species
UACGUAGGGGCGAGCGUUGUCCGGAUUUACUGGGCGUAAAGCGCGUGUAGGCGGCGGUUUAAGUCGGGUGUGAAAGCCCGGGGCUCAACCCCGGGAUGCCCGCCCGAGACUGGACCGCUUGAGGCUGGAAGAGGGGAGUGGAAUUCCGUGGUGUAGCGGUGAAAUGCGUAGAGAUCAGGAGGAACACCCGUGGCGAAGGCGGCAUCCUGGACCGAGAUUGACACUGGAUGAGCGAAAGCGUAGGGGAGCAAACGGG